UACGUAGGCAGCAAGCGUUGUUCGGAGUUACUGGGCGUAAAGGGUGUGUAGGCGGUUGUUUAAGUUUGGUGUGAAAUCUCCCGGCUCAACUGGGAGGGUGCGCCGAAUACUGAAUGACUCGAGUGCGGGGGAGGAGAGUGGAAUUCCUGGUGUAGCGGUGAAAUGCGUAGAUAUCAGGAGGAACACCGGUGGUGUAGACGGCUCUCUGGACCGUAACUGACGCUGAGACACGAAAGCGUGGGUAGCAAACAGG
rnacentral:rRNA from 1 species